rnacentral:rRNA from 1 species
GUGGGGAAUAUUGGACAAUGGGGGGAACCCUGAUCCAGCCAUGCAGCGUGUGUGAAGAAGGCCUUUUGGUUGUAAAGCACUUUAAGCGAGGAGGAGGCUACCGAGAUUAAUACUCUUGGAUAGUGGACGUUACUCGCAGAAUAAGCACCGGCUAACUCUGUGCCAGCAGCCGCGGUAAUACAGAGGGUGCAAGCGUUAAUCGGAUUUACUGGGCGUAAAGCGCGCGUAGGUGGCCAAUUAAGUCAAAUGUGAAAUCCCCGAGCUUAACUUGGGAAUUGCAUUCGAUACUGGUUGGCUAGAGUAUGGGAGAGGAUGGUAGAAUUCCAGGUGUAGCGGUGAAAUGCGUAGAGAUCUGGAGGAAUACCGAUGGCGAAGGCAGCCAUCUGGCCUAAUACUGACACUGAGGUGCGAAAGCGUGGGGAGCAAACAGGAUUAGAUACCCUAGUAGUCC